rnacentral:rRNA from 1 species
AUGGGUGCUACUAGUAGUAGUAAAAGAUUGCAGCGAAUUGAUCUUCUUUAUGCGUUUCGUGGGGGCAUGCCGGGAGGAGGAGGAGGAGGAGGAGGGGGAGCGGCGGCGGUGGUGGUGGACGGCAAGGACGGGUACGCGGCGCCGGCGAGGGCGGCGCCGAGGAGCUUCCCGGCGAAGCUCCUCAGGCCGGUGCUCCUCUCCGCGGUGCUCGCCACGGGCUUCCUCGCCGCGGCCCUGCUCAUGUUCUUCGGCGGCGCCUCCUCCUACUACCGCCUCCCGAGGCUCGCCGUGCCGGACGCCCUGCUCCCGGCGCCGACCUGCGACCAGGAGGACGGGGACCAGCAGGGCGGGGCGGCGCAGCGGUGGUGGGCGCGGCCGCCGGCGAGGAGCGCGUGGCACAACAUGAGCGAGGAGGAGCUGCUGUGGGCGGCGUCGUUCGAGCCCCGCGCGCAUCAACGGCGGCCGCCCGGCCGGCGGGGGAGGACGCCCAAGGUGGCCUUCUUGUUCCUCACCCGCGGCCCGCUGCCGCUGGCGCCGCUCUGGGAGCGCUUCUUCAACAGCACCGGCACCAAAGGCAGGGAGCUCUUCUCCGUGUACGUGCACACCACGCCGGGCUACCGCCUCGACUUCCCGCCGUCGUCGCCGUUCCACCGCCGGCAGGUGCCCAGCAAGCCGACGCGGUGGGGCAACGUGAAUGUCGUGGACGCGGAGCGGCGGCUGCUGGCGAACGCGCUCCUCGACUUCAGCAACGAGCGCUUCGUGCUCGUCUCCGAGUCCUGCAUCCCGCUCUACCCGCUCCCGGUGGUGCAUGCCUACCUGACCCGCUCUCGGCACAGCUUCGUCGGCGCCUUCGACGACCCGAGCCCGCACGGCCGGGGCCGGUACCGCGCCGGGCUGGCCCCGGACGUGACUCUCUCCCAGUGGCGCAAGGGCGCGCAGUGGUUCGAGAUGGACCGGCGCCUCGCCGUGUUCGUGAUCGCCGACGAGCGGUACUACCCGCGGUUCCGGACCGAGUGUCGGGCGCCGUGCUACGUGGACGAGCACUACCUUCCCACCGUGCUCUCCAUUGAGGCGCCGACGCAAAUCGCCAACCGGACCGUCACCUUGGUCGACUGGUCCCGCGGCGGCGCGCACCCGGCCACCUUCGGCGCCGCCGACGUGACCGAGGACUUCCUGGGGAUGCUGGUGGGGAAGAAGGGGAAUGCUGAGCGGUGCAUGUACAACGGGCAGCCGGUCGAGGUGUGCUUCCUCUUUGCGAGGAAGUUCGCCCCCGCCGCGUUGCCGCAGCUGCUCAGCCUUUCCUCCAAGAUCCUUGGGUACUAG